rnacentral:rRNA from 1 species
CGGGGGGUCCAAGCGUUGUCCGGAUUUACUGGGCGUAAAGGGCGCGUAGGCGGAACGGUAAGUCGGGGGUGAAAUGUGCGGGCUUAACCUGCAGAUUGCCUCCGAUACUGUCGUUCUUGAGUGAAGAAGGGGAAAGCGGAAUACCUGGUGUAGCGGUGGAAUGCGCAGAUAUCAGGUAGAACACCGGUGGCGAAGGCGGCUUUCUGGUCUUACACUGACGCUGAGGCGCGAAAGCGUGGGGAGCAAACAGGAUUAGAUACCCUGGUAGUCCACGCUGUAAACGAUGUGCACUAGAUGUCGGGGGAAUCGACCCCUCCGGUGUCGCAGCUAACGCAUUAAGUGCACCGCCUGGGGAGUACGAUCGCAAGGUUG